GAGAACCCCCCAAGCGCCUCCACGCCAUUUGUAUCUGCUGGAGGGGGUCCUCCUUCAACAGCCUCAACUGCGGAAGCUGCACCAGGCGGGGAUGAAGGGGCUCACAACUCACCCAUCAUCAUCACCGAGUCCCCCUCGUCACCACCACGCCAAGAAGCUCCAACUCACCAACCAAUUCAAGAAGGUGGUGGCGAGAACCAGCAACAGGC
rnacentral:lncRNA from 1 species